UGUUUCACUUUGCUUGCUUUUUUGUCUUUUGUUUUAGAUGUUCAAGCCUGGAUUUAUUCUUUUUAUUGUGAUUGGAGAGGUUACUCUCCCAUCUGUUUGGUGUUUUAGUGAUGGAACUCUCUUGCUUGACCACGGCUACUGUAGAACUGCAGUGGGGGUCUUACAUAAUAUCACAGCACAGACAACAGAACCAUCAUUUACUAUUCAGCCAUCUUCAUAUAAUGCAACAGCAGGAGAGAUUAUAGACGUAUCAUUCAACAGUACAAGACCCCUUAAAGGAAUAUUGCUUGAUGCUCGGUUGUCUGAAGAGGAUUUACCCGUGGGAAAUUUUACUGACUUCACUACAGACGCUUCUGAACCAUUUUGGUAUCUCCGCUGCAAUACAGAGAAUUGGACAUCUAUUUCACAUGGCAAACUUCCUUCAACAUUCCAAAGUUUGCAGGCAAAAUGGCAGGCCCCCCAUAGUGGAACAUUCUACUUCAGGUAGUGAAAUAAUUGCAGUCUCCCUCUAAUUAAGCAUCUGAAAGAAAGGAAUACGAAUAUGUUCCUGCCAAUUCCAUGUUCAGAUUCUCCCCUUGGUUUUCACAGUACAAACUGCAAAAGGUUGAAUAUUGUACUUUUAGAUGAUGGAAUAGUACUGAGACCAUAAAAGUUCAAGUUACUAUAAAGGUCGCUAUUUUCCUUCGUAACUGAGUUGAGACUAACAUGCAUUUUUAUGCCAGUUCAGGCUAUGCUGCAUGUUUUUCAGUCAUUUUUUGACAGAUUUUUCCAAGCAUAUUUGAACAGAUUCUAAUGAAAAAAUGUGUCUUUCCUUGAUAAAUAUGAUAUGUAGAGGUGCAUUCUAAUUAAAAACAAUUUUUUCAGAGCUUCAGUUGUUGAAAGCUUUUUAGUUUACUGGAACAGAGACCCAAUCCCGUCUCCAACCCAACCUUCAACCCAACCUCCAACUUCACCAACACCCACUGGUAAGUGACAGCACUGCAACCUGCCGACUGAAAAGUUUAAUUUCUCCAUUACUAGAGUGCAAAGCAAAGCCCUGUAGUGAAAUGUCUCACUCUUCAAUAGUAUCAUCAUCUCUUAACUUCUUUCUGCAAGUAAUUCAGUCAUUCAGUGUCAGAUAUAUUC